UACGGAGGGUGCAAGCGUUAUCCGGAUUCACUGGGUUUAAAGGGUGCGUAGGUGGGCAGGUAAGUCAGUGGUGAAAUCUCCGGGCUUAACCCGGAAACUGCCAUUGAUACUAUCAGUCUUGAAUACCGUGGAGGUAAGCGGAAUAUGUCAUGUAGCGGUGAAAUGCUUAGAUAUGGACAUAGAACACCAAUUGCGAAGGAAGCUUA
rnacentral:rRNA from 1 species